GAUAGAGGUCAGAGGGAGAAGAAGCGACGAUAUAUCCACGGUAGGCUAUCUUAUGAUCCGUCGCCUUCUCCGUGUUCGGUGAUCGUCGUACUUGCGGAAGGUACGUGGGAGGUCCGGGUGCGAGGCGUGGUCGGCUCUGUUCUGGCCUGCAACCUCUGUUGGUGCUCUAAUAUUCUUUGUACCAGGACAUGGGCGAGGCAACCAAAGACAGGAAGAGAAAGAGCACGAUAGACAAGAACUGCACGGCCAAGGUGCUCUUCAAGGGGAAGCAUAAACCUUAGCCUUGCCAGCUUAAGACUUAAUGGAACAGUAUCUCCCUAGGUGACACAUGACCUGCCAUGAAUUUCCCAGCGUCCUGUAAUAAUCUCCUGAAUGUGCCUUCAAGUGACACAUGACCUGCCAUAAAUUUUUCAGCGUCCUGUUUUCUGAUUACGGGUGACAACUAUAUGCUUCUAUUGUGUGUCCUUUCCUACUUGGGGAAAUUGCAUUGUUCAUUCCAAUUUAAGAGGAAGUUAAUCCAUUUGUAAUUCCAUUUGUAAACAUAAUACAAUGUACUACAGUUUUAACGGUCAUAGCUGAAUGAUCUCAUUGUUCAUUGUUACGCCUACCAACUGUUGCAUCAAUAUCCUCAUGAAUGUGC